rnacentral:rRNA from 1 species
CCUACGGGUGGCAGCAGUGAGGAAUAUUGGUCAAUGGCCGGAAGGCUGAACCAGCCAAGCCGCGUGAAGGACGAAGGUGCCAAGCAUUGUAAACUUCUUUUGUCAAGGGACAAAAUCAGGCUCGAGAGCCUGACCGAGGGUACUUGAAGAAAAAGCAUCGGCUAACUCCGUGCCAGCAGCCGCGGUAAUACGGAGGAUGCGAGCGUUAUCCGGAUUUAUUGGGUUUAAAGGGUGCGUAGACGGUGAUGUAAGUCUGGAGUGAAAGGCGGGGGCCCAACCCCCGGACUGCUCUGGAACCUAUGGGACUGGAGUGCAGGAGAGGUGAGCGGAAUUCCUAGUGUAGCGGUGAAAUGCGUAGAUAUUAGGAGGAACACCAGUGGCGAAGGCGGCUCACUGGACUGUAACUGACGUUGAGGCUCGAAAGCGUGGGGAGCAAACAGGAUUAGAUACCCUGGUAGUC